CCUGUUCUUCAUUAAUAAGGAAAAAAUUAACUUCUGGAAAAACCUGAUUGCUUAUUUGGCAAAUUACAGAGAAGGUCAUUUAACCAGUUCCCAGCAUUGGCUAUGAGAUGAGGGACCCAGCCGGGAGGAUGGCUAAGCUGCUUCUGGCUUUCUGCUGCCUUGUGCCAAUAAAGGAAGGGCCUCCCUGAUGGUGCUCCUGGCCUUCAAAGCAAUCUCAUACUGAAAGCUGGUGCUUCAGUUACAUGCACUCAAAGGAGAAGAAUCUACUUUGAAUGGAAAGCUCCCGGUCUCUUAGCAGAACCUUUCUAUGCUGACUGUGGCCUUGGCUCAAGCAACAGCAAUUGCAGCUCCUGCUGGUUCUACUAAGGAGGUAAAAAUAAAGGCGACUCGCUUUCAGAGCUUCGCUCUUGUGACCAGGCUGGAGUACAAUGGCACA
rnacentral:lncRNA from 1 species